GAAAGGUAACUUUGAUGGACUCUAAGUAUCUAACAACAUCAACAAGGUGAUUUUCUAUCAUAAUGCCUUAUCUUUAGUCUGGGACUGGGACCUCGAAAGAAACAAAGAAUUUCGCCGAAGGUGACUGGCGUGUUUAUUCACAUGUCUAAAAGCCAGCUGCAGCGACGCACGAUGCGUGCCAGAGCGAAGAACCUUUCCAGCCGCGGCGAAACGUCUGAGGUGUGUGCGGCAAAGACAGAAUACAUAUAUAUCUAAGAAGAAAGGGGCGUGCUACAGAAAAGGUCUGACCAAUGCAGAUCUGCUAUUCAGGCGUGACCCCUGCGUGGCCCGGCAGGACACCUUGCGGCUCCCGGAGUAUUGUGGGCCCGGGGACCCGGACUGACCCCUGGUUCAAUUCAAGCUGUGCUCUGAAUGAAUCCGGGACGUGGUAACAACUAGACGCCGUAACCUACCCAUGGGGAACGCCCUCCGCCCGCGUGCAUAAAAGGAAGUCGUGCAUAUAUUUUACAAAUUUCGGCUGUAUUGUGACCCCGAAACCUGUCUUGUAUAUAUUUUUUGGUCAGGGUUCUGUCACAGCCUCAGUGAAAACAAUACGUUUGGACUGGUCGUCCCGUCUGGUGUUAAUUGCCUUGAAGAUGUAUCCAACGCAUGUAAUUCUCUCUCUCUUUUUAUCCCUCCAUGUCACCCCAUGUUCCCUUUCUCCCUCUCCUACCUUCUUUCAUUCUGUCUUUUCCUGUACCUUCGAUGAGCUCUUUCUCUCUCUCCCUCCCCUCUCUCUCCUUCUCUCUCUUGUUUUCCUUCCCUCUCUUCAGGCUGUGUAAUAAAGACUAAAUAUCAACGACAAGUGCAAAAUGUUAGUUAGCUAAUACAUGUCUCAACGUGUAAGGCGUGCAGCAUUACUGAGCUCUAGUGACCUUAUAUCUCAC